rnacentral:rRNA from 1 species
UACGUAGGGUGCAAGCGUUGUCCGGAAUUAUUGGGCGUAAAGAGCUCGUAGGCGGUUUGUCGCGUCUGCUGUGAAAACUCGGGGCUUAACCCCGGGCCUGCAGUGGGUACGGGCAGACUAGAGUGCGGUAGGGGAGAAUGGAAUUCCUGGUGUAGCGGUGAAAUGCGCAGAUAUCAGGAGGAACACCGGUGGCGAAGGCGGGUCUCUGGGCCGUAACUGACGCUGAGGAGCGAAAGCAUGGGGAGCGAACAGG